GGGGGGGGGGGGGGGGGGGGGGGGGGGGGGGGGGGGGAGGGGGGGGGCCGGGGGGCCGUGGGGGGGGGGGGGGGCUCGAGGGGCGAAGGGGGGAGGAACGCGUGAGGGAUCUGCCCCCAGCUUGGGUAUAAGCCUGGGAAACUGGGUCUAAUUCCCGAUAGGACUGCAGGGUGGUGCCUGUGGUGGAAAACGAUUUUCUAGUGGUUGGGGAUGAGCUCGCGGCCUAUCAGCUUGUUGGUGGGGUAAUGGCCUACCAAGGCGGCGACGGGUAGCCGGCCUGAGAGGGUGGACGGCCACAUUGGGACUGAGAUACGGCCCAGACUCCUACGGGAGGCAGCAGUGGGGAAUAUUCCACAAUGGGCGGAAGCCUGAUGCAGCGACGCCGCGUGGGGGAUGACGGCCUUCGGGUUGUAAACUCCUUUCGACCGCGAGGAAGCCACCUGGUUGGAAGGGUGGUGACGGUAGUGGUAGAAGAAGCACCGGCUAACUACGUG
rnacentral:rRNA from 1 species